UACGGAGGGUGCAAGCGUUAAUCGGAAUUACUGGGCGUAAAGCGCGCGUAGGCGGCUUUGUAAGUCGGAUGUGAAAGCCCCGGGCUUACCCUGGGAAUUGCAUUCGAUACUGCAUAGCUAGAGUACGGUAGAGGAGAGUGGAAUUCCCGGUGUAGCAGUGAAAUGCGUAGAGAUCGGGAGGAACAUCAGUUGCGAAGGCGGCUCUCUGGACCAGUACUGACGCUGAGGCACGAAAGCGUGGGGAGCAAACAGG
rnacentral:rRNA from 1 species